CUAGUAUGCUAAGCAAAGCUCUAACAGCUUAGAAUGCUUCUCUACCAAUUCUUUCUUCUUUUGGUAUCAUUAGAAAAAGAAGAUUGAAGCAACUUGCUAGAUAAUAAAAGGUUAUUAGAGUUGAGGAAGUCUCAGAUGGGGUUUGAGUUCGAGAUAAUGAAGUGGGAGAAUAAAAUGAUAAGGUAAAAGGUCAAUAUAACAAUCAAGUGGAGGCUUUUUCUAAAGGCAUUGGUGGCUCGCCAAAAGCCACCAAGGAGCCAAGAGUCUUCUAAGUUAGAAAUGUCAGGUCCUAGGGUCAGCUCUAAUAGUUCGAGCUUUUAAGGAGCUCAAUUAUAAGUAUCGACUUGGGGUUAUUUUUUUGAUGAAGACUAGACAUGAGGUGGUUACUCUGGAGAAAAUUAAAAGAAAGUUGGGUUUUGAGGAUAAAGGUUAUCAAGAGGUCAGAGAAUGAGUAGAAAGCUUGGUUUUAUGGUGUAGCAAUGGCUUCCAUAUCAGGUGAUUAUCGAUGGACAUUAUCAAUAGUCGAGGGAAAUACAUGCAAAUACGGACUAAAAUCCAUUAAAAUUGAGCAAGGGCUAGCAUUCCAAGGUUGAGCACAACCUGGACUCUAGCCGUGCUGAACUGUCAAAACUUGACCUUCAAGAGUGCCAUUUUGACAUGGUUUCUGAGGCCACCACGACUUUCAUCACGGCCUAUGGCGGCUCAACACCGGCGAGGGCACGGCCAAGAAGAAGCCCUAAAUUAUGGGACUCGGAGGUCCAGCACGGCUUGGACUCCGCCCGUGUUGAUCAACACAGGCUUGAACACGGCUGUGCUGAGACAUUUAUAAAGGCAAAUGCGAUUUACUGAGCUAGGGUUCGAUUUUCUGACUUGAUUUCAUGCAUACAUGCACGAGCCAUCCUUUUCCAAACUUCAAUAUUCGACUUUAGGAGACUAUUUCGCCUAUUGAAGGAAGGAUUACAUUGGUUUAAACAUCAAAUUGAAGAUCAAGAGUGGAUUUUGAGGCAUUCAAAAGGCAAUUUAGGGCUUUUCAUCUGACUUGAAGAAGAAGGGUGUACAUGCUUUCAAAUUACUUUUCGGUAGUUUAUGACUGGGAGCUCUAAUCCUACUCCUGUAGACCCUCUUAUUGAACCAGAGCGAUCCCUCCGUCUUUUAAGGAAGCGUAUGCAAGAAGAAGAGGAGGCACGAAUAGAGAUUGAAGCUCUGUGAAUAGACCAGCACGGAUGGGAGACAACAACUAGGCUGCGGAUGAAGCCAGGACAAUGUACGAGUUUGCUAGACCUUCUCUUGAGGGGACACAGACGAGUAUAUUGUGACCACUAAUGGCGGCCAACAACUUCAAAAUAAAGCCAAACGUGAUACAAAUGGUUCAAAAUAGUGUACAAUUUAGGGGACUACCGAGCAAGGACCCAAACGCUCACAUCGCCAACUUCUUGGAGAUCUGCGACACCUUCAAGAUACAUGGAACAACUGAUGAUGCCAUUCGGUUGAGGCUGUUUCCUUUUUCUUUGAGGGACCGAGCGAAAAGAUUGCUGCAGUCACUCCCAGCCAACACUAUUACAAUAUGGAGAUCGUUGGCUGAGAAAUUUUCAUAUAAGUACUUUCCUCCUGAUAAAACUACUAAAUUGAGAAAUGAUAUAUCUUCUUUUGUGCAGUUUGAUGACGAGAGCAUGUGCGAAGCUUAGGAGAGGUACAAAGAUUUGCUCCGGUGUUAUCCGCACCACGGACUACCAGUAUGGAUGCAGGUCCAGACCUUCUACAACGGUUUGAACCUUACUACUAGGCAGAUGGUAGACACUGCAGCAGGUGGGGCCCUGAACAGUAAGACGCCGUAGCAGGUGCAAAAAAUCUGAUAGAGGAGAUGGCCAUGAACAACUACCAGUGGCAAUCCUCUAGGAGUCGGCCAAUCAAGCAGGGAGUGG